rnacentral:tRNA from 1 species
GGCAACGUAGCUCAGCGGUAGCGUGCAUGCCUUGCAAGCAUGAGGCCCUGGGUUCGAUUCCUCAGCACCA